rnacentral:rRNA from 1 species
AUGUCGCCGCGUACCACGUUCACGUUGCAGCUGCUCCUUGUCCUGGUGGUUGUGGGCUUGGCCUUGGCCGCAACCACCACGGCCGCUCCUGCGGUCCUCGGCGGAGGAAAGCACCACCGCGGCGUCCUCAGCACCCCCGUCCGCCGGCUCAAGCCGGACGUGCGGGUGUCUAAGCUCGGCGGCGGUGGCGGCGGCGCCGGCGCUGUCACCGUCACCUCCGUCGGCGAGGCGUUGAGUCUCUGGAAGAAUCUGACAGGAGCGCACUUCGUCAUCUACCUGACCGCAGGCACCUACGAAGAGCACAUCGUCGUACCAGAAAGGUGCAGCAACGUGGUGCUUAUCGGCGAUGGCGUCGGCCGUACCAUCAUCACCGGAGCCCUGUCCGAUAGGACAGGGCACAACGUGAUGCAAUCGGCCACAAUGAGUGUGUUUGCUAAGGGUUUCAUGGCUCGGGACGUGACGAUUCAAAACACGGCGGGCGGGCCAGGCAUCAACCAGGCCGUGGCUCUCCGGGUCCAGGCUGACCGAACCGUGUUCUACCGGUGCCAGAUACACGGGUAUCAGGACACCCUCAUGGCCGAAUCGCACCUGCAGUUCUACCGUGAGUGUGAAAUAUCAGGCACCGUAGACUUUAUUUUCGGGGAUGCGACAGCCGUGUUUCAGGACUGCAUCGUCUUCGCACGCCGGCCGGCCGACGGCAAACACGACGUCAUCACCGCUCAAGGCCGCGGAGCACAUCUCGGUGGUUCUGGGUUCGUGCUGCAGAACUGCAGCAUCACCACGGCGCCAGGGGAGAGCCUCAACGGCGUCCAGACCUACCUCGGCCGUCCUUGGAACGACCACGCAACCGUGGUGUACAUGUUAUGCACCAUCGACGACAUCAUCCACGCGGACGGAUGGGUGGCUUGGAACAAGACCAACCCCAAGGAACGCGUCAAAGGCGGCGUCAAGCCCGGCCACGAGGGGCAUAUCUUCUACGGUGAGUUCGCGAACCACGGCGCCGGCGCCAAUGUCGACCACCGCGUCGACUGGCAUGGGUUUCAUCGCCUCAACGAGGCACAGGCUAGGCUGUAUGCGCCGGGGAGGUUCAUCCAGGGAGGCGCCUGGCUUCCCCAGACAGGGGUCCCACAUUACCUUGGCCUCCGUGAUGGUGAGUAG